rnacentral:rRNA from 1 species
AACGAACGCUGGUGGCGUGUUUUAUACAUGCAAGUCGAGCGAGGACUAGAGAGCUUGCUUUCUAGAGCCGAGCGGCGAACGGGUGAGUAACGCGUAAGCAAUCUGCCCCAUACUCGGGAAUAACCAUCCUAACGGAUGGCUAAUGCCGGAUAUUGACGGACACUUCCUGGUGUCUUAUCGAAAGAUUUAUUGGUAUGGGAUGAGCUUGCGUCUGAUUAGCUUGUUGGUAGGGUAACGGCCUACCAAGGCAUUGAUCAGUAGCCGGCCUGAGAGGGUGAUCGGCCACAUUGGGACUGAGAUACGGCCCAGACUCCUACGGGAGGCAGCAGUAGGGAAUAUUGCACAAUGGGGGAAACCCUGAUGCAGCAACGCCACGUGUGGGAAGACGCAUUUCGGUGUGUAAACCACUGUCGAGAGUGAAUAACGGCUGAUUUCGGUCAGUUUGAAUGUAACUCUAAAGGAAGCACCGGCAAACUUCG